rnacentral:rRNA from 1 species
CCCUUAGAUGUUCUGGGCCGCACGCGCGCUACACUGUUCGACGCAGCGAGUCUUAACCUUGACCGAAAGGUUUGGGUAAUCUUCAGCAAAGUCGAACGUGAUGGGGAUCGACCAUUGCAAUUAUUGAUCGUGAACGAGGAAUUCCUAGUAAGUGCAAGUCAUCAGCUUGCGCUGAUUACGUCCCUGCCCUUUGUACACACCGCCCGUCGCUACUACCGAUUGAAUGGUUUAGUGAGAUCUCUGGAUUGACGCUGGCUAGGGGGCGACCCUUGGCCAGACUGUUGAGAAACUGCUCAAACUUGAUCAUUUAGAGGAAGUAAAAGUCGUAACA